rnacentral:misc_RNA from 1 species
ACCCCCACCCAGCGACCCCGCCGUCGCCGGUGACCAGCCCCAACCCCAUCACAAGGCCGGCGACAAGGAAGCGGAUGUUGCCACCGCCGAAACUGAUGGGUACAAGGCGGGGUCGUCCUCAUCGCACCUGUCUCGACUGCUCCGGGAGUUAUCUCCUAUAUUGCAGUUAUCCAGAACCGCGUCGCCCCUCCAUUCAUCCUUGACAACGCUGCCUGUGUUGCUUUACGUGUUCAGGGCUUCAGGUUUGAGCAUUUUUUUCUUAAUUUUACACUCCAAUAUAAUGUUCAAUUGGAAAACGGUC